rnacentral:rRNA from 1 species
AGAGUUUGAUCAUGGCUCAGAACGAACGCUGGCGGCAGGCUUAACACAUGCAAGUCGAGCGCCUCGCAAGAGGAGCGGCAGACGGGUGAGUAACGCGUGGGAAUCUACCCAUCCUUACGGAACAACUCCGGGAAACUGGAGCUAAUACCGUAUACGCCCUUUGGGGGAAAGAUUUAUCGAGGAUGGAUGAGCCCGCGUUGGAUUAGCUAGUUGGUGGGGUAAAGGCCUACCAAGGCGACGAUCCAUAGCUGGUCUGAGAGGAUGAUCAGCCACAUUGGGACUGAGACACGGCCCAAACUCCUACGGGAGGCAGCAGUGGGGAAUAUUGGACAAUGGGCGCAAGCCUGAUCCAGCCAUGCCGCGUGAGUGAUGAAGGCCCUAGGGUUGUAAAGCUCUUUCACCGGAGAAGAUAAUGACGGUAUCCGGAGAAGAAGCCCCGGCUAACUUCGUGCCAGCAGCCGCGGUAAUACGAAGGGGGCUAGCGUUGUUCGGAUUUACUGGGCGUAAAGCGCACGUAGGCGGAUCGAUCAGUCAGGGGUGAAAUCCCAGAGCUCAACUCUGGAACUGCCUUUGAUACUGUCGAUCUGGAGUAUGGAAGAGGUGAGUGGAAUUCCGAGUGUAGAGGUGAAAUUCGUAGAUAUUCGGAGGAACACCAGUGGCGAAGGCGGCUCACUGGUCCAUUACUGACGCUGAGGUGCGAAAGCGUGGGGAGCAAACAGGAUUAGAUACCCUAGUAGUCC